UACGUAGGGUGCGAGCGUUGUCCGGAAUUAUUGGGCGUAAAGGGCUCGUAGGCGGUUUGUCGCGUCGGGAGUGAAAACACACAGCUUAACUGUGUGCUUGCUUCCGAUACGGGCAGACUAGAGGUAUGCAGGGGAGAACGGAAUUCCUGGUGUAGCGGUGAAAUGCGCAGAUAUCAGGAGGAACACCGGUGGCGAAGGCGGAUCUCUGGGCCUUACCUGACGCUCAGGUGCGAAAGCUAGGGGAGCGAACAGG
rnacentral:rRNA from 1 species